GGCCGUAUGGUCUAGUAGUAUGAUUCUCGCUUUGGGAGAGUCGCGUAACUCGAAAAUGCGAGAGGUCCUGGGUUCAAUUCCCAGUGCGGCCC
rnacentral:tRNA from 1 species